ensembl:lncRNA
AUGUGGACAAAACCCAUCGGUGUAACCACUGGAGCGGCAGCCAUCUUAUCACAAACAGAACAAGCGCUGCUAGGACUCGUUCUUCCCCUGUUCCCACACUGGAGCCCAGCAGUCAUGUUAAAUGGAUAUGACGUAAGCAUCUCGGCUCUUGACACCUCUCUCUUAAGGUCUGAGUUUACAGGACUGGGAAUUAGACAUCAUCCUUCAGAACGCACUAUCAGCCCGACACACCAAACUCCCCAACUGCUCAAUAAUUCACACACCGUCUGCCCAAUCGGCCUCCUUCAAGCCAUCAGUGUCAGACGCAGUGACAGACACCAGAACAGAAGCACUUCAGCAUGGUGACUGAAACACAGAAAGUGCCGCGGACCGGGGGUGGAGUCUCCAUGACGUGCAGUCCCAGCAUAGCCCACUCUGGCAUGCUCUCCAUCUCUCUUCAGCUCUAUAUAUAGACGUGCUCCGCUUCUGUCCACCUGCCAGGGUGUCUAAAAAUAGCAGCAUGCUCAUUUUCCUUCGCUCCAGCUCCGCACCGGGCCGGCUGAUCAACUUUCAAACCGCAGUAAGAGUGGGGCGGAGAUGGAAGGAUAGACACUGAUAUCCUUGUAGUUGUACAUGUCUUUCACAAAUGUCCUACAGCUUGUGGCUUAUGUGGAUAACACCAUAAACCGUGAUGGCUUCCCUCAGGCUGUUCACUAUAAAUCACAUUUUAUAAAACUGAUAGUUUGGGCUCUAAAAUCUGAUUGGAUGAGACUUGUUCACUAUAAGUCAUGGUAUGAGCGGCUGUCAUGCAUUUUGUUGAGGAAAGGAGUGGUAUUAAUAUUUGCAGCAAUGAUACUGGCAAUUUUCAAUGAAAUUUUUUUUAUAGACAUUAGACAUUAGACCCAUAGAUGUGGCAUGAUAUGGCAGAUAACUGAUAAAAUAAAAUUAAAAAACAAUAUUACAAUGCUGGCCUAUAUUGAUAAGCCGAUAAUUACUGUCUUGUUAUGGCAGAUAACCGAUAAACAAAACAAAACAAAAAUAUAUAUAUGUAUAUAUAAUAUUUACUAAAAUGUAUUAGUAUUUAGUAUAUACAUUUGUGUAAAUUAAUAGGGAUGCACUGAUAUAAAAUUCUGGCCGAUACUGAUAAGCCAAUAAAUAAUUGUCAUGUUACGCAGAUAACCUAAUAAAAUUACAUUUUACCAAAAAAAAUUAAAAAAAAAUUAUUAGAUUAAGAUAGAACUACAUUUAAAAAAAUAUAUAUAAAAUGAUUUAAAAUGUAUUAGUAUUUAGUGUAUUCAUUUGUGUAAAUUAAUUACAAAUAAUCCACAAGAAUAAAAAAAAUGGUUUUAAAUGCUAUAAGCAAAACAAAAACAAUGGACGUUCAUUUUAAGAUUUGCAUUGUUAUUGACACUGUUAUCAAUUUUUGUAUGAUCUAAGUGAAUGAAAAAAAAAUGAAAAUAAGCAUGCACAAUUAAAUAUCCAACAUAG